rnacentral:rRNA from 1 species
AUGCACGCUGGCGGCGUGCCUCAUCCCUGCCAGUCGAGCGAACAGACGAGGAGCUUGCUCCUCUGACGUUAGCGGCGGACGGGUGAGUAACACGUGGAUAACCUACCUAUAAGACUGGGAUAACUUCGGGAAACCGGAGCUAAUACCGGAUAAUAUAUUGAACCGCAUGGUUCAAUAGUGAAAGACGGUUUUGCUGUCACUUAUAGAUGGAUCCGCGCCGCAUUAGCUAGUUGGUAAGGUAACGGCUUACCAAGGCGACGAUGCGUAGCCGACCUGAGAGGGUGAUCGGCCACACUGGAACUGAGACACGGUCCAGACUCCUACGGGAGGCAGCAGUAGGGAAUCUUCCGCAAUGGGCGAAAGCCUGACGGAGCAACGCCGCGUGAGUGAUGAAGGUCUUCGGAUCGUAAAACUCUGUUAUUAGGGAAGAACAAAUGUGUAAGUAACUAUGCACGUCUUGACGGUACCUAAUCAGAAAGCCACGGCUAACUACGUG